rnacentral:rRNA from 1 species
GACGAACGCUGGCGGCGUGCUUAACACAUGCAAGUCGAACGGUGAAGGGGCCUGCUUUUGUGGGCCCUGGAUGAGUGGCGAACGGGUGAGUAACACGUGAGUAACCUGCCCCCUUCUUCUGGAUAACCGCAUGAAAGUGUGGCUAAUACGGGAUAUUCUGGGUCUGUCGCAUGAUGGGUCUGGGAAAGAUUGCGCCUUUGGGUGUUUUUGGUGGGGGAUGGGCUCGCGGCCUAUCAGCUUGUUGGUGGGGUGAUGGCCUACCAAGGCGGGGACGGGUAGCCGGCCUGAGAGGGUGGACGGUCACACUGGGACUGAGACACGGCCCAGACUCCUACGGGAGGCAGCAGUGGGGAAUAUUGCACAAUGGGCGCAAGCCUGAUGCAGCGACGCCGCGUGAGGGAUGGAGGCCUUCGGGUUGUAAACCUCUUUCGCCAGUGAAGCAGGCCUGCUCCGUGUGGGUGGGUUGACGGUAGCUGGAUAAGAAGCGCCGGCUAACUACGUG